CAAAACAUUUAUGUAUAGCGUUGCUAUAGAAUGUCCAGAAUCCUCAAACAGCACUUAACAUCGUUUAGAGAGGGUCGGGCUGCUUAUGACACCCAGAUGAAGUGAUGAGGCGCGUCAUCCUCGAUCGGACGCUGGAUCCACACAACAGCCGUAAAGGACGUUUGGGGGACCGAGGGAGAACACUGCCUUUGGAGUCAGAUCUAAGUUCUGAUGAACCUCUCAACUUGGUCGGACUGUCCUUCACCCCAUUUCCCCACUGGUAAAAUGGGAAACAUACCCUCAGAGGACUGUGAAGCCCGAGUAGGAGCACCUCGCAGAGGGCUGAGGCACUCGGAGGCAGGAGACAUAUAUAGUAAGAAGUUGCCACAGCCAAUGUCAGGUUACUGCCCAUGUUCUCCAUUUUAGAAAACAUCCUGCACAACAGUGGAACACGUAUACCCGUCCCCACACACACCGUCAUCAGGAGGAAAAGGCUCGAAAGAUACGCAACAGGUUAAUGUUUUCUUCUGGGUGUUGGGAGUUACAUUCAACUUUAUAUUAAAGACCAUGUUUAAUAUAAUAA